UGAAUCAGCCCCAAACUACAGAGAAAAUCAGUUAAAAAAUCUGAAACCCUGCACAAAAUCAAUCAACACGUAAGGUGUCGUACUAGGAUCUACACCGAAAGGGCACAGUAGGGAUGGGUAAGGUCCACUUGUACUUAAUAGGUAUUAUAGGCCGAAUAGCAAAGCAGAAAAUAAGAUAAGUAAUAUAAUACUAUAAGCACAUCACAUGCAAGCAGAAAAGUCCCAAAGGAUAGCUCACACCACCUCCACUAAUAGUUCUAAUAUAUAUUUAUGGAAAUAAAGAACAACACAGAUUUUUGCAAAGGAAAUACUAAAACUAAACACAAAUCAAGGAUACCAAGAAAAUCAUGAAUGAUAUGUGUGUAAAUUCAAUCCAAUGUGGAUGGGAUAAAUGGUGAAGGUCAUUGCAUGACUUUCUGUAUACACCCAUUGAUCUCACAACUCCCAUGUAGGACCCAUGGGAAUUUCGCAACCAAUAUACUAUAACUCAUAUCUCAACUCACCUCUUUAGCUUAUGUUCAUAGAGAGAGUUUUAUAAAAAUGUCUCAUUUUCUUUCAAAAAUAGUGUUCCUCAAUGGUACCGGUGUCUCAUGCAUGUAUAUGUAUCAAAUGAGGAAGUAAUGCUCACGAUCGACUCAAUAUAAAGAUACCUAAUCCAUCUCACACGUAUAUAAGUGAGCCUAUAAAUGAACUCAAUAUGUCCACAAUUCAUGAUUAUCAACUAAAAAUACACACUAUCGAAAUAAAUAUGUAUAUAAGAUAUCAUUAAUAUCAUAUCAACCCCUAACUCGGGUAUAUCUAACAUAAUAAAGCAAACCAAUGCUCAAAUUAGGCCUAUAUUAGCAAAAUAAGCCCUCACACGGGCAUUAAAUCUAGAAUGAAGGCAUUUAGAUGCACAUAUAAGGCUGCAACACACAAAAGUUAGAUAACACAAGUCAACAAAAAGCAAAAUAUAAGUCGCCCCCCCCCCCCCGGAAAAAAACAAAAAAAAAACACCCAGAAAAAAAAAAAAAAAAAAAAACCCCCCCCCCCCCCCCGGUAAUACAACAAUAAUAAUAUCCUCGAAAUAUAAACCUUAUAGUUAUUUUCCUUAACUCAUAGCAUGCUUUACUUAUACAUUAACUACCCAGCUCAAUCUAAAAGAAGUUAAGCCAUAACCUAUAUUGAAAUGAUGAAAUCCCAAUCUAAGUGCUUCAACAUGGAGCCUUCCCCUUACAAACGGUCGUAGAAUCAAUUACAAAAUUCAAAUAUAGUGUCUAGGCUUAAAAAAGGCUAAUGAUAUUCAUAUUUCCCAAAUUCUAGAUGGGUUCAAAAAACGAGUUCAAAAUAAAAGAGGUAAAUCAAAAUUUUGUUUUAAAAAUAACAUAUUCCUCAAGGUUAUAGGAGUCUAUAAGAGAAAAUCCACACAAAAAUAGGUUAAAAAUAAGGUCCACAUAGAAAACCAUUUUUAAGUUUUAUGGGUAAAACCCCUUAAAUUCUAUUUCAAAAUUAAGAUGAAAAGGUGUUUUUGAUUACGUAAAUCAAUUAAACAUAAAGGAAUUAAGGUUUUGAGCUUACCCAAGCUCGAAUGGUGAAUAAAACCUUAAAAAUCGCCCAAACUCAAAGCUCAAAGUCCAAAAUUGAUGAAAAUUUGCAAAAUAGGACUAUUUAUACUUAGCAACAUUGCGUAGGCAUCCCUUUGGCAUCUUAAGCGGCAUCACCUAGGUAGCCGGACUACCGCUAAGGUGGUAGUAACUUGACACAUAACUUGUCACUUACGCAACCCUUUGGCCGCUAAGGGUUAUUGUUGAGGAGACACAUCUAUCGCUCAGGUGAUGGUGCUGGUGAAGUAAACCUCUGCAACGGGUCAGUUAGUUCACCGAGUGAUAUCGCUCAGGCGACCAGUGGACCGCCCUAACGGUUGCACCAAUAACCAACAAAGGUGCUAAUUUUUUCAUGGUUUCGAAUCCUCCAAAUGGACCCUUGAGAUUGAUUUGAGACCCGGCAUAAUAAUCAUAUAUGCUACUAGGCUAUUUUUUAUGUCCCGACUCAAUAGAAACAUCAAAUUUUCGAACAAAGAUUAUUUUAAUAAAUUGACCCCUAAAACCCCUUUUUCACUAUUUUCUAAAUGAUGGAUUAAAAUAUAAGAUAAAGGUCCCAAACCCAAACCAACCAUACUACUAACCUAAAUUUGACAUUUCAGAUUCUACUAGAGAAGUCUAAAUCGUUAUCUGAUACUCAAAACAAUAAAUAUUGACCAAAGUCAAUAGUAUGACUUUUGAAGACUCUAAAAACCACAAACUCACCCAAAUCACCCUCGAUUGCAUUGGAAACUAUGUCAACUAUCCCCACGCCUCAAAAUCAUCACAUAGAAAUUAUAGAAAAGGGUAAAUUAAUCAAAAUACAUAAAAGCAUAUUUCCAUAAAUUAGGUUAUUACAGCAUCUAACACUAAGACUCCAGUUCGUCCUCGAAUUAAAAGGCAAGGAAAUACCUGAAUCGGUAAAGAGAUAAAGGGCAACUAUUAUGCAUGUCAGACUAGAUCUUCCAAGUAGCCUCCUUUACAAGCCGGUACCUCCACUGAACCUUAACUAUAGAAUAUAUCUAGAACGCUUUGGUCUAACAUUCUUAGCUAAAAUAGACAGUGGUUUCUAUAUAAAGGUCAAUCUGUCAUCCAACUAGACAGGGUCAAAAUGAAGCACGUGAACUCAUUGAGAUUGUAGUGUCGGAGCACAGAUACAUAAAAAAUUAGAUAAACAGCUGAAAAAGUUAGAGGUAGGGUCAACUCAUAAGCAACCUCCCCAACUCUUUGAAGAAUCUCAAAUGGUGCAAUGUACCUUGGUCUAAGCUUGCCCUUCUUUUCAAACAUCAUCACGCCCUUCAUGGGCAAUACAUGAAGGAAGACUCGAUUACCAAUCCCAAAUUUCAAGGCACAAAACGUACAACCCAUAUAACAUUUUUACUUACUCUAGGCUAUCUGAAGCCUAUCCUGAAUCAUCCAAACACUCGCGGAGCAAGUUAGUUCCUUGAGGUCUAACCUCUGAAGUCUUAAAAUAGCUAAUAGGAGAUCGACAAUGCCUACCAUAAAAUACCUCAAAAGGUGUCAUUUCAAUAUUAAAAUAAUAGCUAUUAUUGUAAGCAAACUCUGCUAAGACCAAAUACUACUCCCACUAACCUCCAAAUCCAUAACACAUGUGUGGAGCAUAUCCUUCAAAAUCUAAAUAGUUUGCUCUAACUGACCAUCGAUCUGGGAGUAAAAAGAUGUACUAAGGUCAACUUGAAUACCCAACUCCUCCUGAAAAGUCCGCACUGAGCCUCUAUCUGAAAUAAUAGACAUGGUCUCCCCAUGAAGAUGAACUAUCUCACAAACAUAGAUAUGGGCCAACCUCUCUACACUAAAGAAAAUCUUAAUAUAAACAAAAUGGGCUAAUUUGGUCAACCAAUCCACUUUGACCCAAAUAUUAUUCGAACUACGGGAAGUAUGAGGCAAUCCACUCAUGAAAUCCAUAAUGAUCCACUCCCAGUUCAACUCAAGAAUGGGUAAUAUCUGAAGCAAACCACUCAGCCUCUAAUGCUCGACCUUCACCUGCUGAUAAUAUAUGCAAGAAGCUACAAUUUUUGCCAUAUUCUUAUUCAUACCACCCCCCAAAAAGUUAUUUCAAAUCAUGAUAAUUCUUGGUCACACCUAGAUGGAGAGUAUAUCUAAAUUAAUGUUCCUUCUGCAAAAUCAAUCUCACCCAUCUACCAACUCUAUACAGACAAGCAAAAUCAAUCUCACUCGUCUACCAACUCUCAACAUACGAACUCGACCUCCAAUCCUCAAAAUACUAUCAGAAUCAAGAUAUGUCACCAUAGCCUCGCCACUCAAACUAUAUCGAGAAUCACCCUCAAGCUAUCAUUAUCAAACUGGUGAGCUCAAAUUUGCUUUAUCAAGGAAGAUCUAGCAUCAAAAAAGACUAAAAUACGUCCAAGUGUCGAAAUAUCAAGUCUAACAAUCUAGUUAGUUAAUGACUGAACCUCUAAAGUUAAAGGCCAUUUAUGGAUCAAGAGAUAAGCUAAACUCCCCAUACUAGUAAACUUUUAACUCAAGGCAUCCGCAACCAUAUUAGACUUGCGGGAUGAUAUAUAAUAGUGAGGUCAUAAUCCUUAAGCAACUCAAGCCAACACCGCUACCUCAUAUUAAGAUUUCACUAGCUGAAAAAGUACAAAAGUUUAUGAUGGUCUGACAAAAACUCACAAGAACCCCAUACAAGUAAUGAUGCCAAAACUUCAACAUUAACACUAUGAUUGCCAACUCCAAAUCAUGGCUAGGGUAAUUUCUCUCAUAUAGCUUUAACUGACGAGAGGCAUAAAUAAUUACCUUAUCUUCCUACAUCAACACCGCACCCAAACCAACACCAAAAGUAUCACAAAAUCUAGUAAAAACGUACCCUCCUUGGGCAAAGUAAAAAUAGAAGUUGAAGUCAACAACUAUUUGAGCUUUUGGAAGCUCUUUUUACACGCAUCCAACUACUGAAAAAUUUCUAAGUCAACUUCGUCAAAGGAGCCACAAUAGAUGAGAAACCCCCUAUAAAGUGCCAAAAAUAACCUACUAAACUGAUGAAACUUCAAAUCUCGAUAGGAGAAGUAGGUAUAAACCAAGCAUGAAUCACUGUUAUCUUUCCCGGAUCAACCAUAAUAUCAUUCUUGAUCACCACAUGACCCAAGCAAGAGACAGAAUCCAACUAAAACUCACACCAAAAAAACUUAGCACACAACUUCUCAUCAUGCAACCUAUGAAUCAAUCUUCAAAUACUUCACAUGAUUGAUCUCGUUGUUGGAAUAAAACAAGAUGUCAUUUAUCAAUAUAAUCACAAAGGAGUCAAGAUAAGGUCAAAACACCUAGUUCAUCAACUCCAUGAAUGUUGCUGGGGCAUUGGACAAUCCAAAAGACCUGACCAAGAACUCAUAUUGAUCAUAUUGAGUAUGAAAAGUCAUCUUUAAAAAAUCCGAAGCUCUAAUCUUUAACUGUUGAUACCCAAAUCUCACAUCAAUCUUGAAAAAUAAUGAAGCACCCUAAAGUUGGUCAAAUAAUUCAUCAAUACAAGAAAAAGGAUACUUUUUCAUAACUAUCAUUUUGUUCAACUACCUAUAAUCCAUACACAUACAUCGUAACCCAAAUUUUUACCUUUGAAAAAAGUCAGAGUUUUGAGCUUAUGUCCAGGGUAUGACUUAGGUGACGAGUCGUAAAGACUCCUCAUGAGUCAUAUGGCUCCAAUCAUUGUCUGACCAGUAAGUUGUCCAUGUUUUCUUCUGAGGUCACAACUUAGACCUCACGAGUCAUAAGGUGAGGUCACGAGUCAUAGAGUGGGACUCCUGACCAAACCAAUGAGAUGACCUAAGGUUGUUGUCUUGGAAUGACUCCACGAGUCAUACGGUUUGGUCAUGAAUCGUAGGGUGUGACUCGUUACCAUACCAGCAAGGAUACCCUGAGUCACUGCCCAGACUAUAAGUCCAGGCAAUAAUGACUCAUACCCAGUCAUCACAAGUCGUGACAUGACCCAUAACAAAUGGUGGUAGUUUUUCCUGUGAUUUAUGUAAUGUCACUUUAGUCAUUUCUCUUUUUUUCCAAUUGUAUCCCACGACCUAAAAUGCCCUAAAGGACCUAUAACUCCCCAUUUCUCUAUCUUAAAAUAAUCUAAAACUCUCUCAAAUUUCCAUGUCAAAAACAAGCUACGAUUUCUAAGAAUUUGGCUUCUAGAGCUCUAAUUGGUGAUUUCCCUCCAUAAUACUCAAUAUUUUCAGGCAUGUAUCUCUUUUCCUAAACUUGUUUUGUUAAAAGCAUGUGUUUAGAAUUGUUAUUCAUGUGAUUAAUUGAUGAUUUUAGAGAUUGGGUUGAGGGACUUUGAAUGUUAUUGACUGAAUUGCUUUUCCCAUGACUUUUGUGAACCUUUCAUAUUUUGAAUUAAUAGCUUUUGAACUCAUUUAGACGCAUAGGCAUGGUAAAUGGGAAUGGGGGUCAUGGAUUCCCCUAAAUAAAUGGAUUUGGAAUGAAAAAUGGUAAUAACCUCAACCCACCUUAUAAAAUUGCCUUUGAAACAUGAGUAUAAGUAAAUUGUAAUCCCUUUUGAAACUACCACACUACAUAAAAGGCUAAUCGAACAUAUAUAAUUUUAAAUCAAACCUUGGGGGUUGUGGAUUCCCCAAUGUUAAUAAAUAAAAUUUAAUAGUUAAUUAAAUUGAACCUUCGGGGUCGUAGAUUCCCUCAUGUGGCUGAAUGAUUGGGGCCUGUGGGGUCGUGGACUCCUUCAAGAGAUGAUAAUUGGAAUGGCAGUUGAUAAUAGCUUGCAGGCAUAGUUGAUAUAAUGAUACCAACGGGUUAUGACUUAAUGUAUGAUUAUUGGUUCAAUGAAUACGAAUGUGUAAAUGUUUUAAUUAGGCUUAAAGAAGGGUUGUGUAGUUGAGCCAUGAAAGUGGAGGUCCCGAAGGGCUGAUACUAGGAACCGACGUUUGUCGGGGUGAGUGUUGGUCUUGAUGACCGUGUUAUGUCAUACUUUAUAUAUUUGUAUCUUGGGUUGGCAAAGGGUCGUGAAUUCGUCGGCUUUCUUUGAUACCUCAGUUCGUGCAGUUAACACACAUUGGGACCCUUUCAACAGGGUGAGAGCUGCACCUAUCUAACCUGUGGGUAUAGAUGAUGAUUUGAACUACGCAGUCUAGGUUAAUGUUUUAACUCUUAUGCUAAGCCUUGUUCCCUAUCCCAGCAUUUUGUGUAUAUAUAUAGAGAGAGAGAAAGAUAUGUAUAUGAAUGUAUGCAUAUAAUUUAGAAUGAUUCUUAACUGAUUAUGUGGGAUAGGGCUGCCAGUUGCAUCACGGAGACUGCUAGAGAAGUGUUGGGUGUUGUGAGGGAUCGAGCAGGAUGGCAUAAGGGGGAUUGGCAGUGGAAUUAAGAAGUUAAGAAGAAAGUGGAGAUUAAGAAGGGGGCGUAUGUUAAGUUAAUUGAGAAAAAAGAUACAGAGGAGAAACGGGUGAAUAGGGAGAUCUACAAAGUAGCAAAAAAUGAGGCUAAGCUAGCAUUUAUGGCUGCUAAGACAGCAGUAUUUAAGAGCUUGUAAGCAAGGUUAGAGGAGAAAGUCAGGGAAAAGAGGUUGUAUAGGCAUGCUAAGUCUAAGGAGCAGAAGGGUCGGGACCUCGACUAAGUGAAGUGCAUUAGGGGGGAAGAUGGUAGAGUUUUGGUGGAGGACAUCCAUAUUAAGAAGAGAUGGCAGGAGUAUUUUCAUUGGCUUUUGAAUAAGGGGGAGGGGGACAGAGGCAUUGAUUUAGAAGAGCUGGAGCACUCGGAAGAAAAACGUGAUUUCAGUUAUUAUAGACAUUUUAAGGUUGAGGAGGUUAGAGAGGCUAUUCGUAGGAUACGGAAGGGAAGAGCGAUGGGGCUUGAAAAGAUUCUGAUGGAUUUUUGGAAGUGUAUAGGUGGGGCAGGUUUAAGGUAGUUGACUGAUUUAUUUAACGACAUUUUCAAGAUGGAUAGAAUAUCGAAGGCUUGGAGGUGGAGUACGUUGAUUCCGUUACAUAAAAACAAGGGUGAAAUUUAGAGCUCAUGUAUAGCCGGGUUUGUAAUCCUAGGACUGUGUCCAUAGGUAGGAGCCCCUACUCAAAAGGGUUUGCGUGUGGCGGGUGUCUCUAGUCUGUGAGUGUAUGUUACUAUUAGGUGGGGGUCAUAUUGCUGAUGUCUUAUUUCUUAUCUCUUAUUUUAUAUUGCGUUUAUUUAUCUUAUCUCGUAUUGCUCUGAUUUCUAUUUUAUUAUGUCUUAUCCUUUUUUAUGUUAUGCCAUUCAUCAUUCUUCAUGUUUCAUUACGCUUUUGUUUACUAUUCUCUAUCUUGACCCGAGGGUCUAUCAGAAACAGCCUCUCUAUUUCUUUGGAGAUAGUGGUAUGGACUGCGUACAUAUUACCCUCCCCAGACCCCACUUUAUGGGAAUACACUGGGUUUGUUGUUGUUGUUGUUGUAAUCAUAGCAUUAUUUUAUCCCUUCCCUGAGUUACAUGCUAGUGCUCACCCUGCUAACCAUCCUCGGAUGUUGUAUCCCUACGCGAUGCAAGGUCCGAAGAACUUUUGUUUGCUUGCAUAGUGGUAGGUGAUUUCUGGAUUCUCUAUGAGUCGGCUUGAAGUGGCGAGUUUCCAUUCUCCAGAAGGCCAUCAUUUUAUGGUCUUGUCUUUACUUACGUCCUAGACUAUUUUUGUGGGUUUUUGGCUAUGGUCGGGGGCAUAUCCCGACUUUGGUUGAUAUUUGAUUUCUUAGAGGCCUUUGUGGAUAGGAUAUGGGUGGAUUUGAUAUUGGGGAUUCUUAUAUCCUAUUCAGUUGAUUUAUCUAUCUUGUUAUAUGUUCGAAACUCAGCUAUAUCUUAUUAUAUGUUCGGAACUCAGCUUUAUAUUUUUAUAUGUUUGGAAUUCAUCCACUGCUAGUUGUAUUGUGUUCUGGUUGGCUUGGUUAAUGGGGUGGUCUCCGGUACUUGGCAGAUUUGAGAUAUCCAUCACAACUAGGCCCUGGAUCGAGUCGUGACAUACACAUAGAACCAUCCUUUUUCUUCAUGAAUAAGACAAGAGCAUCCCAACGAGAUACAUUAGGUCUAACAAAUCCCUUACUUAACAAAUCUUGCAACUGUUUCAACUCUUUCAGCUCAGUUGGGGCCAUCCUAUAUGGAGGGAUUGAAAUGGGCUUGGGGCCCGACAUGACAUCAAUAGAAACCUUAACACCACGAUACAAAGGUAUACUAGGAAAAUCUAUAGGAAACACAUCUAUGAACUCGUGGACAACCCUAAUAGAAUCCAUAAAAGGCGGUGAGGCAACACUAGUAUCACGGAUAUGGGCCAAAUAAGAUAAACACCUCCUCUCUAUCAUACAAUGUGCAUGCAAACAAAGAUAUAACACCCAUCAAACCUAAAUUAAGUGUACCCUUCAAAGUUAACCUUGAUACACCUGGUGUAGCUAAGGUCACGAUCUUGGCAAAAUAGUUCAAAAUAGCAUGAUAAGGAACUAACCAAUCAAUACCCAUGAUAAGAUCAAAAUCAACCAUAUAUAGGAUAAUCAAGACUACCCAAGUCUUAUGGGAACGUAAUGGUAACCACACAAGAUCGAUACAAUCAAUCCACUGCUAAAGAAUCUCCUAAAAGGACAGAAACAUAAAGAGGCAUAGCGAGGGGUUCGCAUAUAACAUCAAAUUCAUAAGAAAGAUGUGUAGACACAUAGUAGAAUAUGUAUCUAUGGUCAAAUAAUAAGAGAGCCGAUCUAUAGCAAACUGGAAUUAUACCUGUAAUAACUACAUAUGAAGCCUCUGCCUCACAUCUCCCAAGGAUAGUAUAACACUGACCAAGCCUGCUCUUGGACUUAGUAUCCCUAAGUCCACCUUCAUGAGCACCCCUACCUCUACCUAUAACACCAUGGUCACCACCCCUGCCACUCUAUGAACUACCUCUCACUGCAUAAUUUAAGAUAGGGCAAAACUGAAGCUGUAAACCCUGCUAAGUGGAUCCAUAAACAUGUCGAGGGAAACUCUAGGCCACAUGGCCAAACUCAUCAGCUAUUAAACAUCCUCUAUGACCUGACUCAAUUAAUAAAGGUGAGGAUGAACAAGAAUGACCACCAUAGCGUGAAGAACCAAUCUUUGGGCCUCCACCUACAUGACUUGAUUGGCUACCAGAAUCCACAAAACUUGAAAGUCUACCACCUGAUCCCUGCAGCAUAGCUUGAACUAGCCUACCAUGAUAACGAUGGGAAACUCUUCGAGAGAAAUCUCUACUGAAAGAUGUAUCCAUUAAACUCACCAUUACAAUGCAUCUUUUUAGUGCCUUUCUGAGUAGCCUGGAUAAUAGACUCGGUCAUCUUGGCAUGUCCAAUCAUAUUCAAGAAAUAAGCCUCUGAAAUUACCAUUUGAGUUGUAUUCAACUGAUAAGUACAAUCUAACCCCUCCACAAACUUCCAAACACUCUCAGACUUGGUGGAGAUGCUAGCAACUGAAUAUCUGGAUAAAGUGUGGAAACGAGUCGCAUACUCAGCAAUAUACAUGGAGCCCUGCUCCAAAUGAUCAAACAAAUCAAGCAUCUGAUCUGUCAAACUAUAUGGCAAAAAUCUCUCUAAAAAGACCUUAGAAAAUUGAGUCCUAGUCAUAGCAGGCAAACCCAAAGGUCUACAAGUAGUAGCAAAUGAAUCUACCAAUCCCUAGCCACAUCCGUCAACUGAUAGGUAGUUUAAGAAACUCAAUGAGAUUUAAGGGAUCCAAAAUUAUGUACUUGUUCUUGUAAUCAAUCAAAAACUCGUAGGCAUCCUCACCAAUAGCCCCACAAAACUUAGGCAGUCCCAAGUGAAUAAACCUCUCAAAUCUCUUCUGAUUAUCAGAAGACAUAACCGUACCCAAAGCAUUUGGAGAAAUUAUAAGUAUGACAAAUAAUAAAUCCACAUGUAGGGGUACCAUAAGUGAUGGCUAUACCCCUUAAGUAGGAAUACCAUAAGAAAAUUUUUGCAUUAACGGUAGAACAUAACCCAUAGUUUGGGGAAUACUAGGUACAUUCAAGAGAAAACCCUCCAAAUGACUCAAGAGAUUAACCAAAAGACCCUGAAACACUGGGUAAUCAACUAAAGCCUAUGGGAUUUGAGCUGGCCCCCAUCCCCUGAUACACAACCUUGGGCUUAGGAGAGGAUUUCCCAGUAUAUCAUUUGACUGAGGCAGCUCCUUAUUCUUGACCCCUACCUCUAGGCCAUCCACAAACCCUGUGUCUUUCUCUAGUCUAGGCUCUAUCCUCAGGAGUUGGCUCGGUAUUCCUAGCCUCUCGAUGCAUAGAAAAUAGUGAAACACAGCUUAAAACAUUGGGUAAGAAUAACCUACGUAACUAGGAAUCAAAAUAAAGAAGUUUUUCUAAAGACAUCUUAUAGCCUCUCAAAGAUAGAUAUGGAUGUCUACAUACUAAUCCGCAAGACUAUACUAGACACCCUACUCUUAUAUUUAUAAGAUCAGUGACCUGGCAACUCUAAUACCAAUUUGUCAUGACCCAAAAAUAGGUUAGAAUAGCACUUAUCGCGGCUCAGUCGCGAUAAGUAAGCUAAUCAGCCAAGCUAUUAAGAAAAAACGAAAAUAAUAACGACAUAACCCAAGCGACUUCUUGAAUGAAGUCAAACCCAAAUAAGUAUAAUACUAGAAGAAAUCUGAAAGAAAUAUCAUAAAUCACACAAAACAUAGUGUCACAAUGUAAAAACAUCUAGUACAUAUCCAAAAAUUGAAAAUAUAUAUUUGUUUCAAAAUCAUAAAUAAAGACAAGUAAGGAUAGAUGAGUUUCAAAUCAUCCCCGGAAGCAAAUCGGUAUCUUAAAAAAUUUAGAAUUCCUCACAAAAUCAACCACCAUGUGAGGUACUCAUACUAGAAUCUACAGCGAAAAGGCAUAGUAAGGGUAAGUACGGUCCACUUGUACUCAAUAGGUACUAUAGGCUGACUAAGCAAAGUAGAAAAUAAGAUAAGUAAAAUAAUACUGUGAGCAAGUCACCUGUAAGCAGAAAGGUCCUAAAUGGUAGCUCACACCAUCUCCAUAACAGUUCAUAUAUCUAUAUAAGUAUGAAGAGCCUUAAAAAUAUUGUUUGAACUUUUUGCCCUUUAUUAAAAGACUUCUCUUUAGACAAAAUCUUCUAUUCAUAAUUUUUCAUAAAUUAUAAUUAUAUAUAAAUACUAAUAAUAAAUAUUUUUAAAAUUAAAAUCUUACGCUCUUUUAGGCAAACUAAAUUGUAGUAGGAGUCCCGUCAAAAUUACGUAUUUUUUGGCAAAUAAAAACUAUCAUAAUUUUAGAAAAUAAGAAAAUUGCCUUUUUUGGUCCGAUAAAAAUUCUAACAAAAAUGCCUAAUUUUUUGGCCAAAUAAAAAACAUGUUACGUACUAUUACUUCCUAUUUCUUAGGCAAAAUAAUAAAACCUAUUUAGUACGAAUUUUCUAGAAUUAAGAAAUAGAUAUUUAUUUUUGAUUCCCCAUUAUUUUGGAAAAAUUUGAAUGUACUUAAAAGACACUUUAGGUUUAUAUAUGCAAUUUGAUUUCAUUCCAAAAAUAUAAAGCAAACUAUAAAUAGAACGAUAACUCUUUACAAAAAUUUCAACCCUCUUAAUCACGUUGAAUUUUUUUUCGUUUCUUUAAUAAAGUUGAUAUAUUUUUCUUGCACUUCUUUGUUUUUAUUCUUUUCUAAUUUUAACUAAUGUAUGUUUUUGCUUGUUUGUCUUUGAAAAUUAAUAGUACUUUCUCGGUUUCUCUCAUUUUUCAAUCUUAUUUAAUGUGUAUUUUUAUUUUUUCAUGUCAUUAUAUUUUUCGUCUACCAAUGAUCUUUUAGGUAUGUUUUCUAACUCUAUCCUUUCUUUGCCUUUGUUUAAUUAUUACUUGCACUGUUUACACAUCUCAAAUCUGGCUAUUAAUUCUUUUCAAUAAAUUGGACAAGUCAUUUUAUGCAUAAAACUUAUUACAUCAAUUAAUAUUAAAAAAAAACUCAAGGAUUAAUAAUAUGUUUGUAUGUUAUUUUUAUAAAAGAAAUUAUUAUUUAAUAUAUAUAUAUAUAUUAAAAGUGUAAAAACCUUUAAAAGGUGAUUUGAAUAUUUUGCCCUUCAUUAAAACACUCAUCAAUAGACAAAAUCAUCUUUUCACUAUUUUUUUUUAAUAUUUAAUAAUUUAAAAUUUAAAAUAUGUGGAAAAUUAAUAUUGGUAGAUUUUCUCUUUCCUUGUGUAUAGAAAAAAGAAGUCCUAAAAUAUAUGAUUAGAAUAAAAAAGAAAAACUAAAUCUUUAUUGAAGUCAAUUGGUUAAAACGGUGGUAGUUAGUUAACACUACAAAUUUUGUAACUUUUAAUAGUAAAGUAAUAAUUUCUUUUCAAAAAUUGUCAUAGCUUUUGAUUAACUACAGUUAAUAUUGGUAAAUUAAUGUUUCUUCUAAGAAAUAAAAGUUGAUAAAAAAUUAUAAUAUUUAGCACUUCUACUUUAAAUAGAAUUUUACCCUAAACAAGUUCCAGCUGAAGCAAGGGAGAUUAUUAAUCUAGACAAGGUGGGUACUCCUAACAUUAGAAGGAUUACCAAGGAACGGGAAUAACAUAAAUCAACCAAAAUAAACAAGGGCAGCAACGGCAUAACAACAACAUUUGUGUACAUAAAGCAGAAUCAAACAAAUGGAUUCAGCAUUUUGUGUUCAUUGGACAAAGCAGAACAUCCAAGUUCAAAUAUCAGUAGGUUUUGAAGAAACCAAGAAUACGCAGUAACUCUUUGAACGAAGCUAUGUAAUGCAUAAAUAUUCAAGUGGAUAUGAAGUCAUAACUGUAUGUACCAAUUGUUGGGAGUGAUUUCCACAGAAUAUGCCACCAACAUCCAGUGAGAUUUGGGAUGUUUCGGGCUGGAUAUUUGAACAACAGGAACAUCAGAUCUAUCUUGAAUAUUCUGACUUGAAAAUUCAUUUUAUAAAGUGCUUUAAGAUGAGGAAUGGAUUUCUUAACUUAUUAAUUCAUUCUUUGCAGCUCAGAUGGUGGUAUCAGCUUAGAUAGAAGCUCAACCCAUCGAGCUACAAGAUAGAAGAAAAUAAGGGAAGGGGUUGGAGUACUUAGCUUAGGCAAAAGGCAGAUGAAGUCCAUACUGAAAACAAGAUCAACAAUGCAAAUUCCAUGGAAAAAUUGCAGAAAUCGUGAAAAAGAUGAAGAGGCGGAUCACUGUUAUGAAACAAUAAGUCUCACUCACAGCUCCUAUAUCUUGAAAUUACUAGUGAGAAUACCUACGGAAGGUCGUUUAGUAGUUGAAUCCGAUGACAAUGGUGGUCGUCCGAAGUACCGGCGAAAGUUUUAGGUGGAGCAGCUAGCGUUCAGCUCAACUCUUCACUUUCCUAUUUGUUGUCUUUUCAUUUUCAAUUUUGGAUAUUUUCUUUUUGUUUUUUGUUUAGAAUUAGAGAUUGGGUCAGUUUUUUUCCUAUUGGAUCGGGUUAUUGGGCCUGGUUUAUUUGUAAAUAUUGUUGGCUAGUUAAUAAAAGGCCCAAAUGCAUCUUUUGGUAAAAAAAUAUGAUUAGAAAAAAGAAAAGUAUAACACCCUCAAAUUUUGAGCAAUUUAAUUUGGUCUUUCCGUGCUUGAAAUAUUAAUUUUUAACCCAAAUUAUGUUCGAGGGUGUUAAACGGGUAUCCCAGAUGAGUUUUGGAAUUUUUAGACGGGGUUCGGGGUAAUUUCGGACCUCGGAGGCAGCAAGCCUCCGCGAUAGCGGCAUACCACGAAGCCUAUCAUGGAGACUAGCCUCUGUGAUGUGGAGGAUGUGCUCCAUGAGAGGGUCUGCAACAUGAAGGAUGGGCCUCCACGAUGAGGUCUGUGCCAUGGACCCUUGAUUCUCAGCGACUCUUUUGUUGAUUAUUAAAAGAGAUGAGGGGAAAAAGGGUAUUUCCACUUAAGCACGACCCUUAAGCAUUAUAAAAC
rnacentral:lncRNA from 1 species